CGAACGCUGGCGGCGUGCCUAAUACAUGCAAGUAGAACGCUGAAGGAGGAGCUUGCUUCUCUGGAUGAGUUGCGAACGGGUGAGUAACGCGUAGGUAACCUGCCUGGUAGCGGGGGAUAACUAUUGGAAACGAUAGCUAAUACCGCAUAAUAUUGACUAUUGCAUGAUAGUCAGUUGAAAGGUGCAACUGCACCACUACCAGAUGGACCUGCGUUGUAUUAGCUAGUUGGUGGGGUAACGGCUCACCAAGGCGACGAUACAUAGCCGACCUGAGAGGGUGAUCGGCCACACUGGGACUGAGACACGGCCCAGACUCCUACGGGAGGCAGCAGUAGGGAAUCUUCGGCAAUGGACGGAAGUCUGACCGAGCAACGCCGCGUGAGUGAAGAAGGUUUUCGGAUCGUAAAGCUCUGUUGUAAGAGAAGAACGAGUGUGAGAGUGGAAAGCUCACACUGUGACGGUAGCUUACCAGAAAGGGACGGCUAACUACGUG
rnacentral:rRNA from 1 species